UAAUGAGCCAAGAGCACAUCUUUUAGAGUUAAGAGCGUGGACCACUUCCACACUCGAAGUGUGAGGGGACAUACUAUGAGCUAGAGAGAGGCAAAUAAAUAGAAGUUUACAUGCCACACAGUCAUUUAGGCUUGUAACACACACAUAGAGCAGCAAACUCUCAGGCUCCUCUGCAGAAACGCUGCAGCCUGUCUGCCGGCAUGAAGCAGAAUUUCCUAAUCCCAUUAGCUGGGCCCUGGUACCUAUCGGUGUGUUAUUAACUAACCUUAAUUUAAGAAGCUGUAAAUUUUGAGAAGAUUAUACACCUAACACUCCUGAGACUGACUCGAGUGCAUUACACUGGCCUCUGACAAGAAUGUGUCCAUUCUGAGCAUUUGUAUUUGGCUCUAUUCUGAUAAAAACUCAAAAUGUAGCUCCUUAUAAAAUGAACCUGAUAAGUGAGACUCUAGAUCAGCGUGGUCCCAUAGGAAUAGAAUGCAGGUCGCCGAACUACGUGUGUAAUAUUACCUUUUCCAACGACUAUUAAACUAAAUAAAAAUAAACAGAUGAAGUCAGUUUUAAAGACAUAUUUAUCUAACCUAUGAUAUUAUCGUAUCAAUAGGUAACCAGUAUACAUUUAUUAAUGGAGUAUUUUACAUUUUUCCAUAGUGCCGUCUGGUAUUUUGCAACAAUAGCACAUCUCAGCUCAAACCAGCCCCCCCUCAAGUGCUCAGUAGCUCACGUGGCCAGUGCAGGGGUAGACGGGCCAGGUAAUGAGAAGCCUCUUAGGAAAGUCUUCCCAAGAUUCUGCUUGGCCAAGAACAUCUUGAACCAGUGCAACGUGGGAAUCCUAUCUCCGGUCUUGAGAGUGAGAUGA
rnacentral:lncRNA from 1 species